rnacentral:lncRNA from 1 species
AACAGAAGCCACUGGGAGCAGCCAGCUGAAUGGUAGCCUACUGAAGAUCAAAAUCAUACCUUCCUUUGCUAAAUGUGGAGAGGAGAAAUGGAUUAACUAGGGAGGUUUUCGUUGCUCUUGGACCAACGGGAGAACCG